CCUACGGGUGGCAGCAGUGAGGAAUAUUGGUCAAUGGACGCAAGUCUGAACCAGCCAUGCCGCGUGCAGGAAGACGGCUCUAUGAGUUGUAAACUGCUUUUGUAAGAGGGUAAACGCAGAUAAGCGUAGCUGUCUGAAAGUAUCGUACGAAUAAGGAUCGGCUAACUCCGUGCCAGCAGCCGCGGUAAUACGGAGGAUUCAAGCGUUAUCCGGAUUUAUUGGGUUUAAAGGGUGCGUAGGCGGUCUGAUAAGUGAGAGGUGAAAUCCCGAGGCUCAACUUCGGAAUUGCCUCGGAUACUGUUCGGCGAGAGAGUAGUGGCGGUAGGCGGAAUGUAUGGUGUAGCGGUGAAAUGCUUAGAGAUCAUACAGAACACCGAUUGCGAAGGCAGCUUACCAAGCUACUUCUGACGUUGAGGCACGAAAGCGUGGGGAGCAAACAGGAUUAGAUACCCGAGUAGUC
rnacentral:rRNA from 1 species